rnacentral:rRNA from 1 species
UAAGAUGGAUAGACCGUCUUGCUGGGUGGAUUAGUGGCGAACGGGUGAGUAACACGUGAGUAACCUGCCCUUAACUCUGGGAUAAGCCUGGGAAACUGGGUCUAAUACCGGAUAGGAGCGCCUACCGCAUGGUGGGUGUUGGAAAGAUUUAUCGGUUUUGGAUGGACUCGCGGCCUAUCAGCUUGUUGGUGAGGUAAUGGCUCACCAAGGCGACGACGGGUAGCCGGCCUGAGAGGGUGACCGGCCACACUGGGACUGAGACACGGCCCAGACUCCUACGGGAGGCAGCAGUGGGGAAUAUUGCACAAUGGGCGCAAGCCUGAUGCAGCGACGCCGCGUGAGGGAUGACGGCCUUCGGGUUGUAAACCUCUUUCAGUAGGGAAGAAGCGAAAGUGACGGUACCUGCAGAAGAAGCACCGGCUAACUACGUGCCAGCAGCCGCGGUAAUACGUAGGGUGCGAGCGUUAUCCGGAAUUAUUGGGCGUAAAGAGCUCGUAGGCGGUUUGUCGCGUCUGUCGUGAAAGUCCGGGGCUUAACCCCGGAUCUGCGGUGGGUACGGGCAGACUAGAGUGCAGUAGGGGAGACUGGAAUUCCUGGUGUAGCGGUGGAAUGCGCAGAUAUCAGGAGGAACACCGAUGGCGAAGGCAGGUCUCUGGGCUGUAACUGACGCUGAGGAGCGAAAGCAUGGGGAGCGAACAGGAUUAGAUACCCUGGUAGUCCAUGCCGUAAACGUUGGGCACUAGUGUGGGGACCAUUCCACGGUUUCCGCGCCGCAGCUAACGCAUUAAGUGCCCCGCCUGGGGAGUACGGCCGCACGCUAAAACUCACAGGAAUUGACGGGGGCCCGCACAAGCAGCGGAGCAUGCGGAUUAAU